rnacentral:lncRNA from 1 species
GAAAAAAAGAAAAGAAAAAAAAAAAAAAAGAAUUCUACGCUAAAACUGGCAGGUACCCUGAGAGCAUGAAUGCACUCCUCUCUCAGAAUGACAGGUUACUGACAGCUCUGCCAUCUUCAAUAUGCUACCUUCAGGGUUACCCAAGGCAUCGUUCUCACCCAGAGGAAAUUGACAAAGUACUUCAACAAAAUCAGUGAUGUUGUUUUGGGAUAAAAUUGGCAUCUUGGCAUCGAUCUUCUGAGACAGCAGACACCUUCACACGCUGACUAAGCUCCCCCUGGGAAUUCAGAAGAGUUUGCACAUUCUGCUUUAAUAAUAAAAAAAAC